CCCCUGCACUUGCCCUGGCUUUUGAUAAUGACCUAUCAUGAAUUAUCCACAAAACUGAAUGCUAGAUGAGCUAAUUAGGCAUUAACCUUACAUUAGAGAUCAACCACACGAUUGGACCCUUCACAGCUACUAAGUGCCGGCAAGGCGUGACCAACCACACUGUGAUCUGCUGUGUUCCACCACACUGUGGUGACCUGAGAGUGAGAAACUCCCAUCGGCUGUGUCCAUCAGAGUCUCCCACUAAACUUACCAAUCAGGACUUACUGGUAACAUGAGGUUGGCUGGUCAGUGAGCUCCAGGAUCAUCUUGUCUCUACCUCCUCAUUGCUGGGCUCAUAAGCAUGUGUCUACUUUUUUUUUAAUGGAUUCUGGAGAUUCCAAGUCAGGCCCUCCUGUUUGUGCAGCAAGCAUUUUAUGACUGAGCUCUCUCCACAGCCCCACUUUUAUCUCUCGGCUUUUCGGAAAAUGAUACAGCAUGAGCUUGAGAGACCACACUGUAACUUAGGUGAAGCAUGCAAGCCAGUGGACAGGAGCCGGUCCAUUGCUGUGAACCCCCUCCCCCAUGUCUAUCUCCAGAACUUCCCAUCUCUCCACACUGCAGCAGUAGGUCUCUAUGAAAUCACAACUCCCAGAACUACCCUCCCCCAAGCCCUUGGUGAGCUACCAUCCUGCUUUCUGUUUCUGGGAAAUUGACCAUUCUAGGUGUCCCAUGCAAGUAGAAUCAUACACCAUUGAUAUUCCCAUGCCUGGCUUCUCUUAGCACAUCGCUAUCAAGGCUUAUCUAUAGCUGUGUGUACAAUGAUUCCCUUCCCUUUGAAAGGCUGCAUAGUAUCCCCUUAUGUUCUGCUCACCCACAGACCGACAUCUGAGCUGUUUUGUCAUCUUGGCUGUUGUGAGCAGGGCUGUAGUAAAUGUGGGUGUGUGGUGGUAGUUCCUAUGCCUCUACUGUCUUCUCCAGAUAAGGAACUAAAGCUUCCAAAAUAGG